GAUGAACGCUGGCGGCGUGCCUAAUACAUGCAAGUCGAGCGAACGGACGAGAAGCUUGCUUCUCUGAUGUUAGCGGCGGACGGGUGAGUAACACGUGGAUAACCUACCUAUAAGACUGGGAUAACUUCGGGAAACCGUAGCUAAUACCGGAUAUUUUUUUGACCCGCAGGGUUAAAAAUUAAAGAACGGUCUGGCUGUAACUUAUGAUGGAACCGCGCUGCAUUAGCUAGUUGGUAAGGUAACGGCUUACCAAGGCAACGUUGCAUAGCCGACCUGAGAGGGUGAUCGGCCACACUGGAACUGAGGCACGGUCCAGACUCCUACGGGAGGCAGCAGUAGGGAAUCUUCCGCAAUGGGCGAAAGCCUGACGGAGCAACGCCGCGUGAGUGAUGAAGGUCUUCGGAUCGUAAAACUCUGUUAUUAGGGAAGAACAUAUGUGUAAGUAACUGUGCACAUCUUGACGGUACCUAAUCAGAAAGCCACGGCUAACUACGUG
rnacentral:rRNA from 1 species